UUCUAGCCCCGAUCGCAGCGGCAUCUUUUUUUGUGCGCGAGCGAAGCGAGCGCAAAAAAAAAGAUAUAGCGGAGAGCGGGACGGGUU
rnacentral:sRNA from 1 species